AGAGUUUGAUCCUGGCUCAGAUUGAACGCUGGCGGCAUGCCUUACACAUGCAAGUCGAACGGUAGAGGGGCAACCCUUGAGAGUGGCGAACGGGUGAGUAAUGCAUCGGAACGUGCCCAGUCGUGGGGGAUAACGCAGCGAAAGCUGUGCUAAUACCGCAUGUGAUCUGUGGAUGAAAGCAGGGGACUUGGUAGCAAUACUGGGCCUUGUGCGAUUGGAGCGGCCGAUGUCAGAUUAGCUAGUUGGUAGGGUAAAAGCCUACCAAGGCGACGAUCUGUAGCUGGUCUGAGAGGACGACCAGCCACACUGGGACUGAGACACGGCCCAGACUCCUACGGGAGGCAGCAGUGGGGAAUUUUGGACAAUGGGCGCAAGCCUGAUCCAGCAAUGCCGCGUGCAGGACGAAGGCCUUCGGGUUGUAAACUGCUUUUGUACGGAGCGAAACGGUCUGGGUUAAUACCCUAGGCUAAUGACGGUACCGUAAGAAUAAGCACCGGCUAACUACGUGCCAGCAGCCGCGGUAAUUC
rnacentral:rRNA from 2 species